rnacentral:rRNA from 1 species
UACGUAGGGUGCAAGCGUUAAUCGGAAUUACUGGGCGUAAAGCGUGCGCAGGCGGUUUUGUAAGUCUGGCGUGAAAUCCCCGGGCUCAACCUGGGAAUUGCGUUGGAGACUGCAAGGCUGGAGUAUGGCAGAGGGGGGUAGAAUUCCACGUGUAGCAGUGAAAUGCGUAGAGAUGUGGAGGAACACCGAUGGCGAAGGCAGCCCCCUGGGUCAAGACUGACGCUCAUGCACGAAAGCGUGGGGAGCAAACAGG